CUUCCUCCCCGAAAGGUGACUCAGCUCUUGCUCAGGCACCGCCAUGAAAUUCUUCCUUGUAAUGCUGCUGGCCUGCAUGGCCUGUGCAUCAUCAGUCUUUGCCCAUUUGAACGAGCUAAAUGAUACAGAAGAAAGACGUGCUAUUGUGUCUCAGUUAGACUCUUCUAACAACCCUAACCACUUCAUUGAAAAUGUCCCUAAUGAGCAUGUCCGGACAUCUAAGCGGGAAGUCUCUCCUGAAGAUAUCUCCCUUGAAGAUGUCCUCUUAAACAAAAAGGUCUCCAACUCUGAGUCCCCAGAGAAGGAAUCAAUGAGGAACCUACACCAUAAUAAUGAAAUCGUACAGCAUGAGGAAAGAGCCAGUGAGCAAUCAGAAACCAAUACCAAGAACUCCAAACAUGUCCCUGCAGUCACCACAGAAGGAAGACUUGCCAAGCUGGGCCUCAAAGUUGGAGAAGAGAUAGACCUAAUGCUGACCAAGAUCAAGAACAAGAUGAAAAACUAUUUUUCUUUGAGAUCUUAAUAUGGCGAUUGUGGGGCUGUCAUGCAAGGAUCCAGCACCUGGGGCAGGGCCCUCCAGUCCCUAAAGCCCCAUCCUACUGGGAUUUCUCCAAAUACCUGACGAGAUAUCCUGAUUAAACACUGCAUCCC
rnacentral:lncRNA from 1 species